rnacentral:rRNA from 1 species
UACGUAGGGUCCGAGCGUUGUCCGGAAUUACUGGGCGUAAAGAGCUCGUAGGUGGUUUGUCGCGUUGUUCGUGAAAACUCACAGCUUAACUGUGGGCGUGCGGGCGAUACGGGCAGACUUGAGUACUGCAGGGGAGACUGGAAUUCCUGGUGUAGCGGUGGAAUGCGCAGAGUAUCAGGAGGAACACCGGUGGCGAAGGCGGGUCUCUGGACAGUUCCGUGCGCUGAGGCGCGAAGGCCAGGGGAGC